rnacentral:tRNA from 1 species
UCCCUGGUGGCUAAGUCGGUAAAGAAUCCACCUGCAAUGUGGGAGACCUGGGUUCGAUCCCUGACUGGGAU